rnacentral:snRNA from 1 species
AAGUGUUACAGCUCUUUUAGAAUUUGUCUAGUAGGUUUUCUGGCGUUUGUUGGGAAACCCCU